AGCGAACGCUGGCGGCGUGCUUAACACAUGCAAGUCGAGCGAGAAAGUCCCGCAAGGGAUGAGUACAGCGGCGAACGGGUGCGUAACACGUGGGCAAUCUGUCCUUGAGACCGGAAUAACCCAGCGAAAGUUGGGCUAAUGCCGGAUAAGACCACGAGCAGACAUGUUUGCGGUCAAAGGGCGCUUCUUCUAGGAGCAUUCACUCACGGAGGAGCCCGCGGCCUAUCAGCUAGUUGGUAGGGUAACGGCCUACCAAGGCAAAGACGGGUAGCUGGUCUGAGAGGAUGACCAGCCACACGGGGACUGAGACACGGCCCCGACUCCUACGGGAGGCAGCAGUGGGGAAUAUUGGGCAAUGGGGAAACCCUGACCCAGCGACGCCGCGUGGGUGAUGAAGGCC
rnacentral:rRNA from 1 species